CCUGUGAACAGAUCAGUUUGGAUUAAUAAGAGCAAAUAGAAGUAGAAAUAAAUAGCAAAGAGUAAGGGAAGCUCUUUCCAGUGUAACUGUGAAACAACUAAGAUGAACUAGAAAUAAGGUGGUAAUGCCAACAGCAAGCUAGCUUUCACAGCAUCACCACCAUGCAGCUGAUCUGACCUAAAAAUUAAUAAGACCAGGUCAACUGCCUGAGAGCUACCCUCCGUUGCAAGAUAGUACAGGUGUCUAAUUAGUAUACACAAUUUUAUGCAGGCCCCAUCAAAAGAGUGUCAUUAACAAGUAUCUCACGCAGGCUCCACCUGAAAAUGGAAAAUGUUAGGCAUUGAGGUCUGCUUUAAUUAUGAAAAGCCACAUCAGAGCGGCUUCAGUUCCAUGUUCAGCCACUACAAUCCAAAUGCAAGCAGCCCUUUUUAGAGACAUAAUAGGUUACUUUGAAUGGCUAACAGACACAAGACAUUUUAAAAAGAAGGUGCAUAAUUUUCUGAGACCAGCCUUCAAGUCAAUCAUCAUUCUUAUGUAAGGAAGUUUGCUUGGUCUCUGAGUGCAACCUGCCCUUUUUGUCUUGCUGAAGGAGGCUCAUGCUUGUUUUUGUAACCAUCAUGCUUAACGACUCGACCAAGCUAUCCACGCAAACAUAAGUGUGAUUUGGCAAUUUCCAAAUGAACCAGAAAGCUUGCAUGAACUUGAUUCCAUCAGUUCAUAUAUAGCUUGCAUGAAACUGAUUCCACCAUUUACACCACCUAAUUCUCUUUGGGAAAAUUUGAAUAUAAGUUUACAUAAAAUAUCAUAUGGACUGAUUAUAAACACUGAUCUAACCAGCUAUACCGAAGUCUGGCUUCUUUGUUGCCUUC
rnacentral:lncRNA from 1 species